rnacentral:lncRNA from 1 species
GGACAGGUGUUUCAUCGGCCUUUAAAAAUUAAUAAAAGAUAGUCAAGGAACUUUGAAUUGUGGACCAUAUUGGCAAUCUCUAGAAUUGUAAGGCAUAAGAUUACACUCUUGCUGGUGUAAGAUUCUGGCAAAGGUAUCUGUGACAGGCAAUGCCUUUGAUGUUGGUCUCUUUUGUCUACACUAAUCCGACCUAGUGGUAGAAUUUCUGGGCAAGGCAGAUUCCAAGGUCUGGGAAGGCUACAAUUUCUCCCAAGAAUUACAAUCUGGGAGGUGGGAGUGGAAACAAGAUGUAAAUUGCUUCUCUCACAUGGAAGCACCUUAGGCUGUGUUACUGGGAGUGUCUGAUUAAAGCAAGUUGUAUUUAAAAUCGCAGGAGGGCCUGGCUAGACUACUGCCAGGGUGACCUGCCAUAGUUAGUUUUUAAAUCAAACUGGUUCAUGGUAGUAUUUACUUGGCACACAAUUUUUUUUUCAAAGUCAAAACAUUUAUUAUGCACUUAACAAAGGGGGACAAUCUUCUCAUGGAAAGGUGCCCCUAUUAUGACACGCUCAAACUACAAUAGUACUAGUGAAGAAAAGAAUGCUUGACACUUUUUGCAGAUGGAACAUCCAUUCUCUUGCUCAGAGGAAGAUCUUUCCUUUACAAUGUGUCUCAGGCUUUUAGGUGCUUGACAUAUCCAUGUUCCUAUCAGCAAUGGACAUUGACUUUCGAUUUUGUCCAUCUCUAAUACUCAGCUUUCAUUUUUUUGUUCCACAAUCAAUAUUCCAGUAGUUCUCUCUGGUAUAGGCAAUGCUGGGUCUCCAGAUCAUAAACUUAGGACCCACAACAGUUUAAACAUUUGGAUGUAGCAAAUGUGACUCUGUUGGGCUGCCUAUUAGCCCAGAUUAUGUCCAGAAGACAUAAUUUCAACUAACUCGGAUUUAAUAGGAGUUCAUUUAAGUCCUUUACAGAGAAAGUUGUCUUCUAGGAAUUCUUGCUGAUACUUGUAACUUCUUGAAGAUUAAUCUGUUACUAUUUGUUCUAAUAAAGAUACAGGUGGGUACAUG